ACUGCAACUCCUCAUUUCUUGGUCCAAUGACCAUCCACUCUGAUAAAUCUCAUACGUCGAAGGGAGUGAUCAUUGUAGGUAUUAGUAUUCGAUAAUCUGCAAAUAACCUCUCCCUCAAAGCUCACUCCAGACUCUCUAAAUAUCACAAUAAGAGCCAUACCAGGGCAAGAGAGUCUUGGAUUUGUUCAAGACCUCCCUCAUGGCAUCGAUCAUCAAAAAUGAUAGAUUUAGAAGAGUUUCAGAGACUACAUGGUACAUCAAACAGAUGUCUCGAUCAGUCAUCAAAUUAUAUUUUCCUUCGUUCCUCAGCUUCUAAGGACCUCACUGACUUCUUUCUCUGUGGCAACCACAUCUUGGGGGCCAUUGUCCCAAAAAGAGUAGGAGAACCGGUCAAGAGAAUAGAGAAGGAUGAAGGAUGGAUGGAAAUGAGGAGAAGAGGGUUUAGGGGUGAUUGUCAUGGAUUUUGCAAGUUAGGGC
rnacentral:lncRNA from 1 species